rnacentral:rRNA from 1 species
ACUCAAAGGAAUUGACGGGGGCCCGCACAAGCGGUGGAGCAUGUGGUUUAAUUCGACGCAACGCGAAGAACCUUACCUGGGCUCGAACGGCUUAAGACGUUUCUGGAAACAGGAAUUUCCCGCAAGGGACUUGAGUCGAGGUGCUGCAUGGCUGUCGUCAGCUCGUGUCGUGAGAUGUUGGGUUAAGUCCCGCAACGAGCGCAACCCUUGUCCUGUUUUGGCAUGCCGCAAGGCGCAACUAUCAGGAGACCGCCAGCGAUAAGUUGGAGGAAGGUGGGGAUGACGUCAAGUCAUCAUGGCCUUUAUGUCCAGGGCUACACACGUGCUACAAUGGGCGGUACAAACCGCUGCAAACCCGCGAGGGGGAGCUAAUCGGAAAAAACCGUCCUCAGUUCGGAUUGCAGGCUGCAACUCGCCUGCAUGAAGCUGGAAUCGCUAGUAAUGGCGUAUCAGAAUGACGCCGUGAAUACGUUCCCGGGCCUUGUACACACCGCCCGU